rnacentral:lncRNA from 1 species
AAAACAGUAAGGGUGCCACAAAAGGCGCAACAAAUAAACGAAUAACUAUGUCUAAAACCCACACUUACUCCAGUGCUCACUCACUCCACUAGUCAAUGAGCACACACACACAAAUUCUACCACCUGCUACAAGUAGGCUACCACAGCAAUUCUUGGCUUUUUCAUUAAUUACGUAUCUCUUCCACACUUCAGCAAAACACUCGAGAUCUGGACAAGCUCACCAGAGGCCCAGGAAUCGAUGGGCCCUGUCAAACUCCCACUUCAGCCUCGUUCAUCAGGGCCCAGCGCUAAAUUUAGCCUGACUCACUGCCUGUCUGCCUGGGGACUUGGAUGUCAGAGUGCCUGCAUGGACUUGGAAAAGUAUGCCAGGAC